UAGGCACGGAGUAGCAGGACAA
rnacentral:piRNA from 1 species